rnacentral:rRNA from 1 species
GAAAGUUUGACGGAGCAACGCCGGGUGAACGAUGAAGGCCUUUGGGUUGUAAAGUUUUGUUGUUAGGGAAGAACAAGUACCAGAGUAACUGCUGGUACCUUGACGGUACCUAACCAGAAAGCCACGGGUAAUUACGUGCCAGCAGCCGCGGUAAUACGUAGGUGGCAAGCGUUGUCCGGAAUUAUUGGGCGUAAAGCGCGCGCAGGCGGUUUCUUAAGUCUGAUGUGAAAGCCCACGGCUCAACCGUGGAGGGUCAUUGGAAACUGGGGAACUUGAGUGCAGAAGAGGAGAGUGGAAUUCCACGUGUAGCGGUGAAAUGCGUAGAGAUGUGGAGGAACACCAGUGGCGAAGGCGACUCUCUGGUCUGUAACUGACGCUGAGGCGCGAAAGCGUGGGGAGCGAACAGGAUUAGAUACCCUGGUAGUCCACGCCGUAAACGAUGAGUGCUAAGUGUUAGAGGGUUUCCGCCCUUUAGUGCUGCAGCAAACGCAUUAAGCACUCCGCCUGGGGAGUACGGUCGCAAGACUGAAACUCAAAGGAAUUGACGGGGGCCCGCACAAGCGGUGGAGCAUGUGGUUUAAUUUGAAGCAACGCGAAGAACCUUACCAGGUCUUGACAUCCUUCGCUACUUCUAGAGAUAGAAGGUUCCCCUUCGGGGGACGAAGUGACAGGUGGUGCAUGGUUGUCGUCAGCUCGUGUCGUGAGAUGUUGGGUUAAGUCCCGCAACGAGCGCAACCCUUGAUCUUAGUUGCCAGCAUUCAGUUGGGCACUCUAAGGUGACUGCCGGUGACAAACCGGAGGAAGGUGGGGAUGACGUCAAAUCAUCAUGCCCCUUAUGACCUGGGCUACACACGUGCUACAAUGGAUGGUACAAAGGGCUGCAAGACCGCGAGGUCAAGCCAAUCCCAUAAAACCAUUCUCAGUUCGGAUUGCAGGCUGCAACUCGCCUGCAUGAAGCCGGAAUCGCUAGUAAUCGCGGAUCAGCAUGCCGCGGUGAAUACGUUCCCGGGCCUUGUACACACCGCCCGUCACACCACGAGAGUUUGUAACACCCGAAGUCG